CUCGUCAUUGUAGCAGCCUUAGCAGCUCUACCUCGAGGGCAACGCGCUCUCCGGCGGCCUCGAGUUCCUGGAGGCCCUGGUGAUCCGCGACAUGGGGCGGAUCGGGGUUACCGUCCCGAGAACCCUCUCGGGGCUCACGCGCCUCCAGCAGCUCUACCUCGAGGGCAACGCACUCGCCGGCGGGGUACCCGGGAAGAUGUUGUCCAGGAUGAGCUCCCUCCGCUACCUCUCGCUCGCCGGCAACCGGCUGGAGGGCACGCUGUCGCCGGAGCUCGGGGACGUUCGCGGUCUAGUCUGAGGAGCUCCUCGUCGCUUCCGUGGCUUAAUGACACGGACAUUCUCUCUUUUGCUUUGUUGUUCAUUUAUGAUGUUGUGCACUGCAGUAGAUAGGAAUCCAGGGGAGAAGUGUAGGAACUGGGCAUCGAGGACGUGACGCCGGAGCGGCUGUCCGGGCUCAUCGCGGCUAUGCCGGCCUCGUCGACAAGGUCCCCUCCAUGAAGGCAUUCCACUAAAUACAACAGUGCAGAGAUAUGGCCGUCCUUCAAUGAACCUGCCCAGAAUUUCAGGACGCGGAUUUUUUUAGCUGUGUUGUGGGUCAUAAAACGUGCUUGUUCUGCAUCCACAAAUGGUCCGACACACGUACGUACCACCCCAAUCAGAAGAAAUUGCUGAAAGUCUGGUUACACAAUGCUAGCCCAAAGAAGUUAUUGUAACAGUAUCAUGCAUGAUCCCUGGACUAUAUUGAGAGUUUGGUACCAAGGGAAAUGACUGCAGGGCUUCAGGCUCCCAGACAGCAUGCGUAUUACUACGGUGAAACGAAAAAUGUUUUGAGGUGGUAUUGUGGAAAGGAGACUAAUGUUGAUUCCUGCUAUUAGUCUCACCAUUGGCUCCCUUCAGUACAGUCUGGAUGCCCAGAGGAGUCGAGUUGGGUGGGCUUCCAAGGAGAGGAGUAUCCCAUGCAUUAAGAGCCGAGCUAGCUGUGCUUCCAUUGAGAGGAGCACUCCUGAAGAAGAUGAUUUUGUCCUGUGUCAUGCUUCCAGGAAAAGUUCAAGCUCAUACGAGCCAACGACGAUGCUACUAUGUUGGACGCUCUCUCACUCAGCACCCCCAAUUAGACUGCUUCGCAGCUUGACAAUCGAAAAGAAGAACUCUGUUCAGGUACAUAUAUUCGGUAGUAACAUAUGGAGUCAUCAAAUAUCUUGUGGCAUGAUUGCCCAGUGGGCAAGACUGACCGGCAAAAUCUACUAAAGCAGAAAGGGUGUGUUGUUUGGAUUACAGGCCUUAGUGGUACACGUAAUUCAAGAUUACCUAGGUUGUGAGGUGUGCUUCAUGAAAUGCGAGUGCAUUUUUUGAGUUAUUUAAGUAUGGGUCAUUCAACUACAUUUUUUGCCUACAGACCGGUAUAUCUUACUUUAGAUUAAUCAUUUCAGCUUCACACAAUUAAUUAAGGCCAAAAGGGGUCAAUUUUAGGACUCUUCAUAAUUUAGCUGUCAUUUUUUUGUAUUAUUAUUGUUCAGUCCAUCUUUAUAGGUUACAUCAUAUUAAAGUAUUAAAUUCAUCACAAAAUAACUUCCAAGUGCUCAAAGGGCAACUCUUAAAAUUGCCAAGAGUAAAAUAAUCUCAUGCAAGUUUUUGAUCUGAGUCACUCAUGUGUUUUGAAGUCAGCGAGGGAUCCCCUUAUUUCCUCUCGUGCUACUUCUGGUUCAUAUAUUGCAUAAAAUUCGGAGAUUUCACUUGAUACAAGUGGAACAUCUGGAGUUUUGUGCGAAUACUUCCUAUCAUGUGAAUCAGUGGUAGUUGGUUUAAUUGGCUAGACUCAAACUUCUCGCAUAUGAGUUCAAAAACAUUUGUCGCUUCAAGGUUUCCACCAUGGAUUGCUUGUUUUUGUGCCUUGUUUCUAUUCUUGAUCUGUAUCUUGUAGCUCUUAAAAAUAUGGUUGUUUCUUCUACAGGACCUCCAGGCCUAAGAAAGUUGAAGUGCGAAGCCUUGAAAACAAUUGUGUGAAGCUCUACUUAUCCAAGAAUGCAUAUUAUAUAUUGUAAUAAUAGACAUAUCUGCUUUGUAACAGACUGGAAAAAUUGUAAUAUACUACCUUCGUGUUAAUUUGAUGAAUUUCACAUGUUCUUUCUGCUCUAUUUGAAAUAUUCAUAUCGUAUGCGAUUUGAAAA